rnacentral:piRNA from 1 species
UAACGAUAGUGGACCAGUUUAUUUA